rnacentral:rRNA from 1 species
AUUGAACGCUGGCGGCAGGCCUAACACAUGCAAGUCGGGCGAGCGGCGGACGGGUGAGUAAUGCUUGGGAAUCUGGCUUAUGGAGGGGGAUAACGACGGGAAACUGUCGCUAAUACCGCGUACCAUAGGAUGAGCCCAAGUGGGAUUAGGUAGUUGGUGGGGUAAAUGCCUACCAAGCCUGCGAUCUCUAGCUGGUCUGAGAGGAUGACCAGCCACACUGGAACUGAGACACGGUCCAGACUCCUACGGGAGGCAGCAGUGGGGAAUAUUGCGCAAUGGGGGGAACCUGACGCAGCCAUGCCGCGUGUAUGAAGAAGGCCUUAGGGUUGUAAAGUACUUUCAGCGGGGAGGCGUUACCCGCAGAAGAAGCACCGGCUAACUCCGUGCCAGCAGCCGCGGUAAUAC